UUACGGCCACAUCACGUUGAAACAUCCAUUCCCGUACGAACACCGAAGUUAACAACAUCGUGCCUGGUCAGUACCUAGAUAGGCGACCGCUUGGGAUUACCAGGUUC
rnacentral:rRNA from 1 species